rnacentral:tRNA from 1 species
GCCGGGUUAGCUCAGUGGUAGAGCAGCUGAUUUGUAAUCAGCAGGUCGUCGGUUCGACUCCGGCACCCGGCUCAA